AGUGAACGCUGGCGGUAGGCCUAACACAUGCAAGUCGAACGGCAGCACAGUAAGAGCUUGCUCUUACGGGUGGCGAGUGGCGGACGGGUGAGGAGUACAUCGGAAUCUACUUUUUCGUGGGGGAUAACGUAGGGAAACUUACGCUAAUACCGCAUACGACCUACGGGUGAAAGCAGGGGAUCUUCGGACCUUGCGCGAUUGAAUGAGCCGAUGUCGGAUUAGCUAGUUGGCGGGGUAAAGGCCCACCAAGGCGACGAUCCGUAGCUGGUCUGAGAAGAUGAUCAGCCACACUGGAACUGAGACACGGUCCAGACUCCUACGGGAGGCAGCAGUGGGGAAUAUUGGACAAUGGGCGCAAGCCUGAUCCAGCCAUACCGCGUGGGUGAAGAAGGCCUUCGGGUUGUAAAGCCCUUUUGUUGGGAAAGAAAAGCAGCAGGUUAAUACCCCGCUGUUCUGACGGUACCCAAAGAAUAAGCACCGGCUAACUUCGUG
rnacentral:rRNA from 1 species